CUUUAACAGAAAGACAGUCAGAGCAGGGACCCCUUACUACAUAUUGUAUAAAAUUAAGUUGCAUAUUAAACUGGGCCAAUAACUGUUAGGGCAACAUAAAGCCAUUCUUACAUGCCCUUAUUGCAUAAACUAUUAAAGUCUGAAUUGUUGGCGUGAUGUUAUAAAGUAUCUUUUAAUGUUACACAUCUGGCACAGUGAAUCUAGGAUGAACUGUAUCUGUGGGGUGCUAUCUUAGUGACCACCUUACCCAUAGGCCAGUAAGUCUUUCGUCACUGGGAAUUUAUAUUUGCCAGUCUAUGUUGGAAUUAUGUAAUCGAUUUUUUUUUUUUUAAAGACUUUCAAAAAUUGACAAUAAUUU